UACGUAGGGGGCGAGCGUUGUCCGGAAUUAUUGGGCGUAAAGCGCGCGCAGGCGGCCGAUUAAGUCUGGUGUUUAACCCCGGGGCUCAACCCCGGGUCGCACUGGAAACUGGUUGGCUUGAGUACAGAAGAGGAAAGUGGAAUUCCACGUGUAGCGGUGAAAUGCGUAGAGAUGUGGAGGAACACCAGUGGCGAAGGCGACUUUCUGGGCUGUAACUGACGCUGGAGGCGCGAAAGCGUGGGGAGCAAACAGG
rnacentral:rRNA from 1 species